AAGUCGUAACAAGGUUUCCGUAGGUGAACCUGCGGAAGGAUCAUUAUUGUAUUCACCUGCGAUGCUGUUGCUGGCUCCUUGUGGGCAUGUGCACGCUUCGUAAGUUAAUUUCAACCACCUGUGAACCUUUUGUAGUCUUGGGUGACGCUAUAAGUCAAAGGAAACUUUGGAUUUGAAUGCUGCUGGCUUGUAAAAAAAGUCGGCUUCAUUCUACAGCAGAGCCCGGGUACUAUUUUACACACCCCAUUGUAUGUCAUAGAAUGUAAUUCAAGGGCUUCAAUGCCUUUAAACUUAAUACAACUUUCAGCAACGGAUCUCUUGGCUCUC
rnacentral:misc_RNA from 1 species